rnacentral:misc_RNA from 1 species
AAAGUCGUAACAAGGUUUCCGUAGGUGAACCUGCGGAAGGAUCAUUAACUAUAAUUACAUAAUCCAUGUGAACAGCCACACUUGCAGUGUGAGAAUAUAAACAUCGAGUUAUCAACAAUUAAAAAAAAAUAAUUUUUAACAAUGGAUCUCUAGGCUCUU